UGCGCCUUCGUCUAAUGGCUAGGACGCCGAUUCCACCUAAAUUCUUGAAUUUAGACUUCGGAGAAGCGGGUUCGAUUCCCGCAGGCGCAA
rnacentral:tRNA from 1 species